AGAGUUUGAUCCUGGCUCAGGAUGAACGCUAGCGGGAGGCUUAACACAUGCAAGUCGAGCGGGAUUGGUAGCAAUACCAUGAGAGCGGCGCACGGGUGCGUAACGCGUAUGCAACCUGCCUUAUACAGGGGGAUAGCCCAUGGAAACGUGGAUUAAUAUCCCAUAGGAUUAUGGUUUCGCAUGAAACUAUGAUUAAAACU
rnacentral:rRNA from 1 species